rnacentral:rRNA from 1 species
GACGAACGCUGGCGGCGUGCUUAACACAUGCAAGUCGAACGGUAAGGCCCUUCGGGGUACACGAGUGGCGAACGGGUGAGUAACACGUGGGUGAUCUGCCCUGCACUUCGGGAUAAGCCUGGGAAACUGGGUCUAAUACCGGAUAGGACCACUGCCUGCAUGGGUGGUGGAAAGCUUUUGCGGUGUGGGAUGGGCCCGCGGCCUAUCAGCUUGUUGGUGGGGUGAUGGCCUACCAAGGCGACGACGGGUAGCCGGCCUGAGAGGGUGACCGGCCACACUGGGACUGAGGUACGGCCCAGACUCCUACGGGAGGCAGCAGUGGGGAAUAUUGCACAAUGGGCGCAAGCCUGAUGCAGCGACGCCGCGUGAGGGAUGACGGCCUUCGGGUUGUAAACCUCUUUCGGCACCGACGAAGCGCAAGUGACGGUAGGUGCAGAAGAAGGACCGGCCAACUACGUGCCAGCCGCCGCAGUAA